CCUAGUUUGUUUUUCUAUGUUAGUUACAAGAAGGAAAUAAAUAAAUUAUCAAAACUACAAGGGUUGAACUUGUACAUUUUAAUUAAAGUUUGGUUAAGUAGUGGAAGAUCACAAACAUCAGACAUAAGUCUGAUGUUGGUGUCGAUGCAAGCCAAGGGCCAAGAAGGGUUUCUCAUGAUGAUGAAAUGUUGAAGAAUUGAAGCAAAAUCCAGCCUUAAUUCUCUUGCAUGUGUAGAGAUUCUACAUCAAAAAGCUAUAUGAAACAUGUGUAUAGGGAUCAUGUCGAGAUGGAUGGAAGCAUAAACGGCUAACGGGUCAUGAGGACAUGAGGAAACGAGAGCGAAUAUGGAUGCAUAAGGUAAAUCCUCAAUUUUGGUGACUUGGAGAAUCGGAGCGAGCGUGAGUUCAUGUUAUGCCAUACCAAACGCUUCCGCUUGCUUGUUCAAAUGUUUUUGAUCCAAAAUUUGUUGUAUUGGUUUUUUUAGUAGUAUCUUGUUGAACGAAUUGUAGAAUUGUAUCUAGUUUGUUUAUGUUUAAAACAGGGGUAUGCUCGUUUUAUGGACGGGUCAUGCCCGAUUUUUGUUAAA